ACUUUCCUGUGAAUCAGUCAGUAGAGCAUUGCACUAGCAACACAAAAGUCAUGGGUUCAAACCCCAGGGAAAGCA
rnacentral:tRNA from 1 species